ACUGGAUCAAAUAAGGAGCAAUUAGAACAAUGUUCCAGCCAAAGUUUAAGUAAUUCUCCAUGUAACGAAGAUCUUUGAAAACAAUAAUCUAGCAAAUGUUUUAGAGAAGAAUUUUGGUUUUCUAUACCUAAUGAAGGUAAUUUAGAACAAUGCUCAAUUAAUAUUUUGAGACUAGUUUGAAACAGCCCAAUUUUUUGUGAGCCAAACUUCUAUCAAGCUCUAUAUGAAAGGUUUAAAGAUUUAUAAAGGCUGGU